GGACCAUGGACAGGUGCUCAGAGAAGCUCAGCUGCAAGUGCUUGGAAGCCUGGGAAGCCAUGGGCCAUUUACUGUGCAGUUUGUGCUCUCAGGUACUUCUGUUCCUUGCUGACAGGAAUUCCUUGUGCAGCUCAGACUUGAACCUUCUUGGUAGGCUGGAAUGAAGAGCAGCUUCUCCUGAAUUCUGUCGAAUUUGGCAGCUGUUCCACACCUCUAAACUUGAAUGUUGCAGUAAAGUCAACCCCAAAGUAAGCAACACCUACUUGGGGAAAGUGAAGGUGAGUUUUUCGCUGAGUGACAAUGAAAACUGAGCAAUUAC
rnacentral:lncRNA from 1 species